rnacentral:rRNA from 1 species
UACGGAGGGGGCUAGCGUUGUUCGGAAUUACUGGGCGUAAAGCGCACGUAGGCGGCUUUGUAAGUUAGAGGUGAAAGCCUGGGGCUCAACUCCAGAAUUGCCUUUAAGACUGCAUCGCUUGAACGUCGGAGAGGUGAGUGGAAUUCCGAGUGUAGAGGUGAAAUUCGUAGAUAUUAGGAAGAACACCAGUGGCGAAGGCGGCUCACUGGUCCGGUACUGACGCUGAGACGCGAAAGCGUGGGGAGCAAACAGG